CCUACGGGAGGCAGCAGUGAGGAAUAUUGCACAAUGGACGCAAGUCUGAUGCAGCAACGCCGCGUGGGUGAUGAAGGUUUUCGGAUCGUAAAGCCCUUUUCUUGGUGACGAGGAAGGACGGUAGCCAAGGAAUAAGUGUCGGCUAACUACGUGCCAGCAGCCGCGGUAAAACGUAGGACGCAAGCGUUAUCCGGAAUUACUGGGCGUAAAGCGCGCGCAGGCGGGUUGACAAGUCUUUCGUGAAAGCUCCCGGCUAAACUGGGAGAGGUCGGAAGAUACUGUCAGCCUAGAGUAUGGCAGAGGUGUGUGGAAUUCCGCGUGUAGUGGUGAAAUGCGUAGAGAUGCGGAGGAACACCAGUGGCGAAGGCGGCACACUGGGCCAUAACUGACGCUGAGGCGCGAAAGCAUGGGUAGCGAACGGGAUUAGAAACCCCGGUAGUCCAUGCCGUAAACGAUGUACACUAGAUGUUCGUGUACCCUACGGGGUGUGGGAGUGUCGAAGCAAACGCGAUAAGUGUACCGCCUGGGGAGUACGGUCGCAAGGCUAAAACUCAAAUGAAUUGACGG
rnacentral:rRNA from 1 species